rnacentral:sRNA from 1 species
GAGCUUGACAAUGACCGCCUGCGAGCGUGG